CCUACGGGGUGCAGCAGUGGGGAAUAUUGGACAAUGGGCGAAAGCCUGAUCCAGCAAUGCCGUGUGUGUGAAGAAGGUCUUCGGAUUGUAAAGCACCUUCGACGGGGACGAUGAUGACGGUACCCGUAGAAGAAGCCCCGGCUAACUUCGUGCCAGCAGCCGCGGUAAUACGAAGGGGGCUAGCGUUGCUCGGAAUGACUGGGCGUAAAGGGCGCGUAGGCGGUUUAUGCUGUCAGAUGUGAAAUCCCCGGGCUUAACCUGGGAACUGCAUUUGAGACGCAUAGACUAAAGGUCGAGAGAGGGUUGUGGAAUUCCCAGUGUAGAGGUGAAAUUCGUAGAUAUUGGGAAGAACACCGGUGGCGAAGGGGCAACCUGGCUCGAUACUGACGCUGAGGCGCGAAAGCGUGGGAGCAAACAGGAUUAGAUACCCUCGUAGUC
rnacentral:rRNA from 1 species